rnacentral:lncRNA from 1 species
CCUGAAAUCACCGUAGCUCUUGAAAAAAGUCUAACGCUUCACUUGAACAUUAAGCAGGCCAGACACUCUCACUGUCAUUCAUCACAACACAGAAGGACUACCAGCUCAUAUCACCGACAUCAAAAGUCACCAUGAACUACAUCUUGCAGACGUGCUCUGUCUCACUGAAACUCAUCUGCGAGGAUCCUUUGUUGCUGAGAGUCUCCGUCUUGAAGGCUACAACAUGUUCAAACGUAACAGAAACGUGUCUUAUUCAAACCAUCCUGCCAUGGCCACUAAAAACGGUGGUGGAGUUGCCAUCUAUGUGAAAGAACACAUCAGAGUCCUUGAGAGACAUUUCAUUCAGAAUGCCACUGAUAUUGAGUUCAGUGUCAUCAAACUUGAAGCUCCUUUCAGGGCUCUUAUUGCUGCUGUCUACAGGCCUCCUGACUACGAUGUUCACUCAUUCAUAUCCAACCUCAGAAGUCUCUUGGAUUCACUGGAAGUCAUGGAUCAUCCUCCCAUCUUAGUCUGUCUUAAUGAAGAUUUGCUGUCAAGAGCAAGGAAGCCCAUUCUUGAACUGUUUCAGUCGAGGUUAUGAACAACUCCUAACUACUGCUACCACUGAGAAGAACACACUGCUUGACCCCAUUUUUAUCUCUUGCCCACAGUCCUGUAUGCAUUCUGGUGUGCUGCGGACAUACUACAGUUACCACCAUCCUGUCUACUGCGUGUUAACUUUAGAAACACCCUAAAUAGAGCUGGCUGUUUUAAAAUCGUGAACUUAGUGCUAAGUUAAGGGAAAUAAAUCAUUGUGUCCAUUACUGUCAGUUUACACAUUGCGAUUCAAAAGACUUUUGGUCAUUGGUUUCCUAAUCGAUCACCUAAUGAAAUGUUAUAAUCAUAGUAUAUUUUAAGAUGAGGGGUCGUCCUCAGCAGCCAGGCUUUAACACCUGCUCUGGCUGCUCUAGCUUUUAAAGGCUGGGAGGGAGGGAUGGACAAAAGAAAAACAGUCCUGCAGAUACUUCUUAGUCACUGUACAAUGUGAGAUUAAAGACAACAUGUAAAACUUUUAUACUUUACUGAAAAAUACAGUGAAGUAAAAUGAUGCAAAGGUUAGUACAUUAUUGAUAGCAUUUAAAAAAAAAAUCAAAACUAACAGUGAGACAAAUUGAAAAUAAGCUAAAACAGCAAUUUAAAAGAAAUAAUAAAAACUGCCACUGAAACUAUUAUGACCUAAUGAAAUAUUAUAAACAUAGUAUAUUUUAAGAUGAGGGGGUCGUCCUUAGCAGCCAGGUUUGAACACCUGCUCUGGCUGCUCUAGCUUUAACAGGCUGGGAGGGAGGGAUGGACCGACGACCCCCUCCUAUGCCAAAUUAUAUAGAAACACAUUUCUUCAAAUACUUUAGUAGUUACUUUACACUGUAUUAGAGUUGCCAUCUAUGUCCUGCCAUUUACUUUGAGCAGUGGCAGGAAGGUCUGAGGAUGCAAUACUGCUCCUCAUUUCUCUUGAAUGACUUGGUGUGGGCGUAAGGUAAGAACAAUAUUGAUCUUUCAUAUAUACUAGCUGCAGGACUGUUCCAUUUUAAAUGUGAAAAUACACGUUGUUUUACUGGAUUUGUUUGGCUGAAUCUGUCUGUUCAUUUGUUUGAGUUUAGGCACCUGUACCCUGCAGACACCAAAGAUGUGGGGUGAUGACACCAGAACUCCAGCUCUGUGCUCAGUGUGUCCCAAGUACCUACCCUGGCGAGGGGAGAGACCAUACCAAGAAGCUGUCACAACAUUUCAUCCUCAAAAAGCAUCAGGUCAGCCUAUGAUUUUGAUAUCAAAACAUUUGCACUCUGAGUUUGUUGCCUUUUACUGUUUGUGUUUGUUUCUGGUGGUCUACCAAAGGAGAUAAGGAUGAGCCUCUCUCAAAAGAACAUCCAUGGGUGAAACUUUUGUCUGACACUUGGUUGUAUUCACACCUUCCCGGGCUGAGAAGUUCGUCACUAAGGCCCGAACUACACUUAUAUGGAUAUUUAUUUAUCAGGAUAUUUUUGUACUCCCGUCUAAAUAAAUGUAUCUGUCCACACGUGUUAGUUCUCAAAAAUAUCUGCGUCCACACGUAGCCUUCAAACACAAUCCUAUCUGGUGCCGCUUAAAAAAAAUUCAGGAACAAAGCUAACUGAUUGGCCGAUGAAUCGUAACAGCGUGAUGCGUCAUGCAUUGUUUGCAGAAGCUACGCCAGUGCGUCGGGUCCAUG